UACGUAGGGUGCAAGCGUUUAAUCGGAAUACUGGGGCGUAAAGCGUGCGCAGGCGGUGAUGUAAGACAGUUGUGAAAUCCCCGGGCUCAACCUGGGAACUGCAUCUGUGACUGCAUUGCUGGAGUGCGGCAGAGGGGGAUGGAAUUCCGCGUGUAGCAGUGAAAUGCGUAGAUAUGCGGAGGAACACCGAUGGCGAAGGCAGCCCCCCUGGGAUAACACUGACGCU
rnacentral:rRNA from 1 species